UUUAGCGAACAGUUGGCCGCUGUAAUCAAACAAAUGUAACUGUUAUUUAGUGAGAGCAGCACAACACGGUACCAACACACAAGCACCGGAAACGGAAAUGAGUCGACACGCUUACUGCAGUACGUCAGCAGUCUGAAGUGAACUGGACUGCGUCUGUAGGGACCUUCUUGCAGUGACCAGGAGCCGGACUAGGGCUCUGCUAACCCACGUCUAUGGUUCUGAUAACGGCAGGAAACCUGGACUGUAAAAUAUUAUUGGAUCAACACUCAACCUGUUAUUCUCCCUCUGAUGUGUCGAUUUCUCUGAACUGACCCACUGAACACUCAGUUUUAUGGUUUUCUCUGUUGAACGUUGACCUGGAUCACCGGGUCGGAGUGACUCUGCAUUUCCUGGAAAUAGCUUCUGAAUCGGCUGCUUUGUUCACCGGCAGACGCUCCUGUCUUUGUGUCGUUAACAAGAGCUUUGUUUUGUAGGAGAAAGGACGCCCGAGGCAGGUGUUACUGCUUGACCUCUCAGAGAAGAUGAGUGAUGUGGAGGAGGAGGAGGACCGAGCAGAGUCUCCAGUCUCCAGCUGUCUGUCCAUGAAGAGUGACCGGACCAAAUGGAGACCUCCAGACUUCAGUGAUGAACCUGGACCCUCAGAAACAAAGCAGAGAGCAGAGUCUGCAGUAUCCAGCUGUCUGUCUAUGAAGAGUGACUGGUCCAAAGCAUCACCUCUCAACUUCAGUAAUGAACCUGGACCCUCAGACACAAAGAGUCAUGGGGGACAGUUUGUUACGUAAGCUAUUGGUUCUGAAGAAGAUUCAGUGUUCAAUGUUCAAAUUCACUCAAAAAUAUGGAAAGAGGGAACGUGAAGUGUUUGUCACCACUGUGCCUUUCUGUUUCACUCCUGCUUAUUUCUCCUGACAGUUGAUGUAGCCCAUUUAAUGGUCCACAAUAGUGUGAUAUGUUUGAAGUAGUCAGUAAUACUUAAGUGGGCCAGUUAUAUUACUUUUUAUCUGUUUACAUAAAUAAUCUUUACAAAGGUUUGACCUGAACUCUCCUACAAAGUCUUUGGUUGCCUAAUAAUUUCCAUAUAUGUGCAACAUGUGUCAUAACAACUCAUCAUCAGAUCCUAUGUAGCAUCAAUUUAUGAUGCUAAAUACCCUGAAAAAUGGACACUAAAUUUUGCAGCACAGAUGGUAAUCAGUUAGAAGUCUCCCAACAGUCUAGGCCUAUAUGAGCAUAACUAAGGGAUGGUUCAGGACUCACCUGAGCCAGCCCUAACUAUAAGUUUUAUCAAAGAGCAAAAACUUAAGCCUACUCUUAAAUGUGGAGCUGGUGUGAUUCCUUACAGUGGUACUGGAGGCCAGGGCAA